GAAAACUGAGGCCACACAGGCAUCAAAGAAUUUGCCUGGAGUCCCACAAUUAUCAAGUGCCAGAACAGAGACCCCCAGGUUGAACUGUCUGACCUGCAGCCUCUUGCUACCAUCAGUAACCAGCCCUGUAGUUCAGAAUCUAGUCACAUGUCUACGUAGGCUGGAAGGCCCAGGAUCUUUCCUGCCCACCCACUAUGCCUAAAAACAGGAGGUUCCUUCUACCCUGACUUUGGGAUGAUGCCCCUUUCCUAAUUCCAAUCGCCACACCUAGGGGCUGUGCCCAAGGCCAGCCAUGUGAAUGGCCAUUUCUCAGAAAGUACGUCUUCCUCUGUCCCCCACCACCUUGGCUGGCAACUACCCAGACACAAGUACUUACUCAGCUGGUGCCAUGCUCAGCAACAGCUAAACAACUUACCCAGUUUUUCAGAAUGAGCAAUAUUUACUCAACAGCCCAGAAUGGCUCAUAUGGAACUAUUAAACCCCAUCGCCUCAGUCUGCAGCUCACAGUACAAUAAUGAAUCAGUCUUUGGGAGUGAUUAUGAUGCUAAUAAGAAUGUGUGAGGCACAAAAUAUCACGACAUAGGGGUUGCCCCGGAAUCCCCUGAACUCCCAGCUCUCACGCAGGAAUCUCACCACGCCAGACACCAGCCUGCCUGAGAGCCCUUGGCCCCCAGGGUGGCCACACUUAAAAUGAGAAGCAGAUGAGAGUGUGUCCUGCUGUGGUGACCAGCUCCAACCUUGGUCUCUGGGCUUCGACAUCUGAACUCCAGUGUUUAGUGCCACUCCCAGGAAUCCUGGCCAUGGCCCACACUUGCGCCAGGCAGCUCUGUCCUCUGCAUGCAACCUGCCCUCGCACAAGACCUCAACAGGCAAAAAGGCACACACAUUGCUUCUGGAGAGGAAAGGGGGACCUAGACACAGCAGCCACUUCCUAACCUCUCGUGGCCUCUGCUUUGGACAUCAACAGAAAUAAAAGGCAGGAGGGCUUGUGUGCAAAAACUCUGCAAUCAGAUUGCCUGGCUCUGUUGUCAUUCAAUUUCUCUGUGCCUCAACGUCCUCUUCUGUUAAUGGGGUAUGAACAGUAUGUGCACCAUAGCACUGGUAUGGGAAUAAAAUCAUUUACACGAUGGUACUUAGGAAACACUGAGAUGUGCCCAGCACACUGCUACCUUCGCCAAGUGUUCAAUAAAGUAAAAAUAAAUAAAAUUUAAAAAUUUUUUAAAGUUCAGAGCUUCUCUCAUCCCUGGUCAUAUCAAUUCCAGCCAUUUUCUGGAAUAACAGCACAGAGGCCAGAAAAGGACAAAUCACCUCUGCACCAGUCACAGAAUUGGUGCAGGUGAUCCUUGGACUGAGGUUGCUGAUGCAUACAACUCAGGUGCAACACAGGACUGACCUUGGUAGGGGCUGUCCAAAAUGGGAAACCCUGUCACCAGCUC
rnacentral:lncRNA from 1 species